rnacentral:lncRNA from 1 species
UGCAUUUCAAAAAGCACAGGGAUGCUGGAGCCCGAUUUCUCAAAGUCAGUUCUGUGGCUGUCCAUGGCAGGGGUUAUUGUAUUUUAAAGAAAAAUACACACAUCUUAGAGUCUAAUUAUCUAGCGGUAAAUAAGAUUUACUAAAUGAAAGUAAACAUAUUUUAUGCAAAAUCAUGUAAAAGUAAAUGGAGCUAGAGUACAGCUGUGAAGGAUUGCGUACGCUGAACAGCAAAAGGAAUUGCAAAUGUAAUAGUAUAUUUUUAGUCCCCCAAAUACUGAAACAGAUUCAAUUUGGAUGGUGUCUCAGCUCUGAAAAGUCCUUUGAUUAAGAAAACUGGAAAUUCCCAGCCUUUGAUGGGUGCUAUUAGAUUCUAUCCUGCAUACUGAAAUA